AUUUCUUUUAACAUAUUAGGAAGUCGAAUUGAUAGUGAAAAAAGAAGUAGGAAGUCGACUGUCAUCAUUUGCCCAUAACCAAAACCCAUAAACCCAUACCAUGCUUCUUUCUUCACUACCAAUUCGACUUCCUGGUAUGUUAAAAGAAAU
rfam:Gossypium hirsutum cultivar TM-1 chromosome 5, whole genome shotgun sequence